ACCAAAUUAACCCUACAGUUGUUAAAAAUAUAUUAAGAUAAUAUUAUAACUUUAUGCCAACAUAUGUGAUAGCUUACAUAACGCGAUCUAUAUUACAGAAGGACCGUAUGCUGCUGAGAAGAAAGUGUAUUCAGUCAUUGAUGGAUGAAAUAUUCUAUAUAUAUAUAUCUGUCACCUUGAGCUGAGAAGCUUUCCUCUGCCAUGUGCUUCUCCCAUAAUACACUGCCCCCCCAUAGGCCCAAAGCAACAGAGCUGAGCAACCUCGACUGAAAUCUUGGAAACCAUGAACCAAAAUAAACCUUCCCUCCCGGUCAUGUGAAUUAGGUGUGCCUCGGCUGCAUGUAACAGAGCACCCAACUACAAUGAUUGCACUGAAUAUGGCUUUACUUUCCUCAAAUAACAAAAUGUGCAGAGGUAAGUGACCCAAUUCUGCUA